GUGUGCUCCAAGAUGUAUUGAAAUGACUAGGAUAAAUGAUAAGCAGUUUACUUUCUAGAUACAAAAUAAAAUGAUGCACUCCCAGUAAUACUGGAAUUUUUAAUUCCUUUAAAAGAAUAAGGAAUUGAGGGUACAGUAAUGUACAGAAAACAAAAUGAAAAUUGAGAAACAAAUCCUACAAAUUAUGGCAGAGCAGAGCAGGGUAAUCAACAUGAGUAUUGUAUUAAAAAUCCUACAAAUUCCACAAAUCCUACAAAUCCUUUUGUAUACAUUCGUGCCAAGCUCAAAAUUUCUUGUUACAACUAAAAACAAAACUCAAAUUGCAAUGGUAAAGUUUUUAUAAUCUAUUCCCAACACUUUUAGCAAAGAGUGUCAAAAUUUGAUUACCUGAUCGCAAUAAUUUGGGGCAGA
rnacentral:misc_RNA from 1 species